GCAACUCACCAAUUGGGAGAUCCACUUAAGAAUAAUGGCCUAGAAUUGAAGAAUAUAUAUGUAUCUCCUGGUGAUUUGGCUGACCCCCAACCCCUGACUGAUGAGGUGGAAGUUUGGGCAGGCAGCCUCGUCUCCACUCUGGAAAGGGUUGACUGGCUGUGCAGAACAGCAGAUGCAAGAAAAAUAACCCAGUAGGCUCAGCUAUCUCUUCAUGAGAAGAAAAAUGCCAGAACAGGAACAAGAAAUCAAAGAGAAUUCCACCAGCCACAACGAAUGGUGGUCCUUGGACAUCGAAUAAACCUCAAGGCAGGAGAGAGAGAGACCACAUCACAGCCUUCUUGAACACUAGCCAGCACUUCAGUACCAGGCUUGGGGCACCAACGAAAAGAACAAGAAUGGGAAAAAUGUGGCACUAAAUAGAACAUGAAAAGGAUACUUGUUUACAAUAUAAGAGCUGAAACAAGAAGCCUUGU